rnacentral:pre_miRNA from 1 species
GUGGCAGCGUGGUGGUGGUAUACGUGGUGCCACUUACUUGAACGUUUCAGUGACAUCACAUGCACAGCAACUUAAACUGCUAC